rnacentral:rRNA from 1 species
AGUGAACGCUGGCGGUAGGCCUAACACAUGCAGGUCGAACGGCAGCACAGUAAGAGCUUGCUCUUACGGGUGGCGAGUGGCGGACGGGUGAGGAAUACAUCGGAAUCUACUUUUUCGUGGGGGAUAACGUAGGGAAACUUACGCUAAUACCGCAUACGACCUACGGGUGAAAGCAGGGGAUCUUCGGACCUUGCGCGAUUGAAUGAGCCGAUGUCGGAUUAGCUAGUUGGCGGGGUAAAGGCCCACCAAGGCGACGAUCCGUAGCUGGUCUGAGAGGAUGAUCAGCCACACUGGAACUGAGACACGGUCCAGACUCCUACGGGAGGCAGCAGUGGGGAAUAUUGGACAAUGGGCGCAAGCCUGAUCCAGCCAUACCGCGUGGGUGAAGAAGGCCUUCGGGUUGUAAAGCCCUUUUGUUGGGAAAGAAAAGCAGCAGGUUAAUACCCCGCUGUUCUGACGGUACCCAAAGAAUAAGCACCAGCUAACUUCGUG